CAGUCGCCACGGUAAUACGAAGGGGGCUAGCGUUGUUCGGAAUUACUAGGCGUAAAGCGUGCGCAGGCGGUUCGUUAAGACAGAUGUGAAAUCCCCGGGCUUAACCUGGGAACUGCAUUUGUGACUGGCGAGCUAGAGUAUGGCAGAGGGGGGUAGAAUUCCACGUGUAGCAGUGAAAUGCGUAGAGAUGUGGAGGAAUACCGAUGGCGAAGGCAGCCCCCUGGGCCAAUACUGACGCUCAUGCACGAAAGCGUGGGGAGCAAACAGGAUUAGAUACCCCCGUAGUCCCUGUCUCUUAUAC
rnacentral:rRNA from 1 species